rnacentral:rRNA from 1 species
AUUGAACGCUGGCGGCAUGCCUUACACAUGCAAGUCGAACGGCAGCAUGAUCUAGCUUGCUAGAUUGAUGGCGAGUGGCGAACGUGUGAGUAAUACAUCGGAACGUGCCCUGUAGUGGGGGAUAACUAGUCGAAAGAUUAGCUACUACCGCAUACGACCUGAGGGUGAAAGUGGGGGACCGCAAGGCCUCAUGCUAUAGGAGCGGCCGAUGUCUGAUUAGCUAGUUGGUGAGGUAAAGGCUCACCAAGGCGACGAUCAGUAGCUGGUCUGAGAGGACGAUCAGCCACACUGGGACUGAGACACGGCCCAGACUCCUACGGGAGGCAGCAGUGGGGAAUUUUGGACAAUGGGCGAAAGCCUGAUCCAGCAAUGCCGCGUGUGUGAAGAAGGCCUUCGGGUUGUAAAGCACUUUUGUCCGGAAAGAAAUGGAGCAGGUUAAUACCUGGGGGCGAUGACGGUACCGGAAGAAUAAGGACCGGCUAACUACGUG